rfam:Camelus ferus unplaced genomic scaffold scaffold1022, whole genome shotgun sequence.
GGUGGUUACAGCUCAGUGGUAGAGCAUGUGCUUAAAAUGCACAAGGUCCUGGGUUCAAUCCCCAGUACCUCCA